UAAAUAUGCAGGUAGCAAUACACUGACUACCCGCGGUAUCGAGCAUUAUGCUUAAGCGUCUUGUAAAUUCGUCGACCGCGGGGGAGACACCCAUUUGGGUGUCUUUUUUUCGUGUG
rfam:Faecalibaculum rodentium strain Alo17, complete genome.